rnacentral:rRNA from 1 species
UACCAGCACCCCGAGUGGUCGGGACGUUUAUUGGGCCUAAAGCAUCCGUAGCCGGUUCUGCAAGUCUUCCGUUAAAUCCACCUGCUUAACAGAUGGGCCGCGGAGGAUACUCCAGAGCUAGGAGGCAGGAGAGGCAAGCGGUACUCAGUGGGUAGGGGUAAAAUCCGUUGAUCCAUUGAAGACCACCAGUGGCGAAGGCGGCUUGCCAGAAUGCGCUCGACGGUGAGGGAUGAAAGCUGGGGGAGCAAACCGG